UUUCUCUGUACUUAAAACACGGCAAAAGAAGCAAGAAAGAAUGAACAUUAAAAUCCAGUGUUGCAAUAGUUACCCGAAGUUAUUUAGCAAGGUCUUGAUAGUGGGUAUGCACCGCUGGCACACGGAGGAGCGCGGGGUCUCCUUGGUGGUUUUAGAAAUUUCGGUGACGAGAAGAGUCACGUGUGAAGCACACGCGCCACCACAAAGGUUGCGCUCCAAUGUCAUGCGCCGGCACAUGUGGCACCGCUGGUCACUAGAUUUUGGAUCCGACACCGACUUUUGGUUCAGACCCAAUCCUAGUGGUCGAAAGUCUGAUUGAGGAUGAUUUCGAGGAUGUUUUGGGUUUUGAACUGUUUUGGCACUAUACGGGUACUGUUCACAAUUGGGAACUAUUCGGGUAUUGUUUUGGCACUGUUUCAAUACUAUUUAGGUACUGUUUUGGAACUGUUUCA